rnacentral:lncRNA from 1 species
CUCUCUCUCUCUCUCUCUCUCUCUCUCUCUCUCUCUGCCUCCUUUCGCCCUCGGUAAUUUCUGAUGGCUCUUACAAGAUCUAUCUGCUCAGCUCUGCCUAGGUUUUCAUUUCCUAUUGGAAUUCAAACGAUUCACACUGGGCUCUGUGUACCUUCGUCAGUGACCAUGAAAACGUAUCCAUCGUCUGAGAAAACCCAGACAGCUUUCUUUCUUUCCGGACCUGUGUGAGUGUCCUUAAAUCAUACUACAGAACAAGGAAGUGAGUACAUGUUAUGAGCUAGGACACGGGGGUGGGGGUGGUGUUUGGGGGUUGGGGAGGAGGCACGGUGCCCACUUGAAGUUGCCUGCAACAUUACACCAUCAGAGGUGACCGGAAAUUCUGGUGAGCCUGUUUGUGCUGGCAGACAACAGCCUACCUGCCCCUGAUUAUUGGCAGAACAAUCCCAUCUUCCCUGGGCAAAGCUGCUUCCGGUUCUUAGCUACACUUUCUAGGGGGUGGACCUUUCCCCAUUUCUCCCCGGAAGGCCACAAGCAGCAACUUCCGAUGCCAAGUUCCAGCCUGGGGUCCAGAUUUAAAAACAAGAACAACAAAAACAAACCAAAACCAAAAAAGUGGUUCUUCGUUUGAAAAACAAAAAUCAACAAAAAAAAAAAAAAA